UAGAGUGGAACCUGCUGCUCUUGCGUCGAUUGUACAGGCAGUUGCCCGAUACCCAAGUCGUGGCCGUCUCUGCCUGAGCCGUGGACCAUCGGUUCCAUGUAUUGCGUCUCUUUCGUCAUGUUGAUGGUCUUCCUCGCAGUUUCCCGGCUUCUUGGUGACUGUUUUCUGGAAGUGGCACGUGGGCCAAGUCGGUAAGUCAUGAAUCGAAAUUUAUCAUCGACUGAGACGACACUUUCGUUGGCCAAAAAAAAUUAACGACUCAUGGGGGCACCAAAGAUUUGGUCAAAAAAUGGACAAUCAAAUCAAAUCCAUUGUUUUUUUUGUUUGCUGGGUUAUCAUCUCUGAAUGAUGAAUAAGAAAUCAAAUUACGAAAAUGUGAUCGCUUCGUGUGAUGUGUCUGGUGUCGCGGUUCUCCAAGCUCUCGACUCGAUGCUUUUUGGCAGGUAAAUAAAACUAAGAAUAAAAAUUCAAUGAUAAUAUGGGAGCUUAAAUAGUAAAGUUAAAUCUGUUCUAAAUGUGUGAAAUGUCAGUCUUGACUAGCAUUUAUCUUGUAAUUGCCCUAUUGAUGCAUGGCAGUUUAUUGCAGCACUGUGUAACCUUUUUGUUUAGUGCAGAUUUGAGGCCAGAGUCAGGCAUCAUAACAACAAGAUGUGCAAGUUCUGCUUGUGCUGAGUCUGUCGUCUGUCUGUCUGUCUCACCUGGCACCCAUCAACAAUCUUAGUGUCAUUGCUUGGAUAAACAACAUCCCUUUUCAUUGGAGCAAUUACCGUAUUUCUUCUUCCCCUUUCUUUAAAUGUUCUCGUGUUUGCCCAUGCGAGUGUGGGUGUAUUCACGAGGACCCCCUUUUCUCCUAUCCCGUCUGGUGUUAUUUAACUCUUCAUCAGCGGAUGGAUGGAGGCAUGGAGCAACUGUGGAUGUAUUUCCCAGCAGGCCUAAAGUCAGGACUCAGGAUUCACUAAAAAUCUCAUUUGUCGAACGACUGCAGAUCAGGCUUGUUCUUGUACCUCACGACUUCAUCUGUGAGUAAACCAUCACAUUCGAAAAUGUUUGAACUUUAAACACUUCAAGCAAAGUGCAAACAAGACAAUUUUGAAUAUUUUGACGAAGAGUGACUUUCCGCCACUCCGGCACCUGCACCUCGUAUAAAACUAUUUUUCAUGCAACCAAAUAACAUUUGAAAUAAGGCUUUCAGUGAGCCGGUUUAACCGUUGGCGUCGGUCCAUAUCAAGCGGGCUGCGGGCCAUAUCAAACCGCCAUCAGCUGUAAAGAUUGCGCGGUG